rnacentral:rRNA from 1 species
GAUGAACGCUGGCGGCGUGCCUAAUACAUGCAAGUCGAGCGAACAGACGAGGAGCUUGCUCCUUUGACGUUAGCGGCGGACGGGUGAGUAACACGUGGGUAACCUACCUAUAAGACUGGGAUAACUUCGGGAAACCGGAGCUAAUACCGGAUAAUAUUUCGAACCGCAUGGUUCGAUAGUGAAAGAUGGCUCUGCUAUCACUUAUAGAUGGACCUGCGCCGUAUUAGCUAGUUGGUAAGGUAACGGCUUACCAAGGCAACGAUACGUAGCCGACCUGAGAGGGUGAUCGGCCACACUGGAACUGAGACACGGUCCAGACUCCUACGGGAGGCAGCAGUAGGGAAUCUUCCGCAAUGGGCGAAAGCCUGACGGAGCAACGCCGCGUGAGUGAUGAAGGUCUUCGGAUCGUAAAACUCUGUUAUUAGGGAAGAACAAACGUGUAAGUAACUGUGCACGUCUUGACGGUACCUAAUCAGAAAGCCACGGCUAACUACGUG